CCUACGGGCGGCAGCAGUGGGGAAUAUUGCACAAUGGGGGAAACCCUGAUGCAGCAACGCCGCGUGGGUGAAGGAGCGUUUCGGCGCGUAAAGCCCUGUCAGCGGGGAAGAAGAAAGACGGUACCCGACCAAGAAGCCCCGGCUAACUACGUGCCAGCAGCCGCGGUAAUACGUAGGGGGCGAGCGUUAUCCGGAAUUACUGGGUGUAAAGGGAGCGUAGACGGCGAGGUAAGGCUGAAGUGGAAGCCCGCGGCCUAACGGCGGAACAGCAUUGGGAACUGUUUGGCUGGAGUAUGGGAGGGGGAGGCGGAAUGCGUGGGGUAGCGGGGAAAUGCGUAGAUAGCGAGAAGAACCCCGGUGGAGAAGGCGACUGACUGGACGAUAGCGGACGUUGAGGCAAGAAGGCCAGGGGAGAGAAAGGGAUUAGAUACCCGAGGAGUC
rnacentral:rRNA from 1 species